CAAAGAUCGGUAUUCAGGGAAGAAGACCAAGAUGUUGUGACAGAUGCUAAUCUGCCUGGAAAAUAUUGAGCCUUUGCUACCAUUCUCAGGUCCUAUUUCUGAAGAUGUUCACUGUCGGCAACUUGUAGGCAAAUCACUGGAAUCUAGGGAUGCUCAGCCCUGAUGCCGAUUAUUUUUAUCACAAUUCGGAGUAUUUUCUUUGAGCUCCACGUAGAAGGCCAAGUUCUCAACUGGAAUGUCAAUCACUAUCAAGAAGUUGGAACUUGCCAGAGGUCACAUUUGAAGUCAGAUCAAGAGUUGGUGCAUU